rnacentral:rRNA from 1 species
CUAAGGCCAACGGGAGAAGGGUUGUUAAGGAACUCGGCAAGUUGACCCCGUAACUUCGGAAUAAGGGGUGCUCAUGAAAGUGAGCCGCAGAGAAUAGGCCCAGGCAACUGUUUACCAAAAACACAGGUUUGUGCUAAAUCGAAAGAUGACGUAUACGAGCUGACGCCUGCCCGGUGCUGGAAGGUUAAAAGGAGAUGUGCAAGCAUUGAAUUGAAGCCCCAGUGAACGGCGGCCGUAACAAUAACGGUCCUAAGGUAGCGAAAUUCCUCUCAGGUAAGUUCUGACCCGCAUGAAAGGCGUAAUGAUCUGGGCACUGUCUCAACAGCCCGCCCGGCGAAAUUGUAGUACCGGUGAAGAUGCCGGUUACCCGCGACAAGACGGAAAGACCCCAUGGAGCUUUACUGUAGCCUAAUAUUGGGUUUCGGUGUUGCAUGCACAGGAUAGAUGGGACGCUAGGAAGUGAGUGCUUUGGCAUUCAUGGAGCGGCCGUUGGGAUACCAUCCUUGCGACAUUGGAAUUCUAACCUGCGCCUUUGAAUCAAGGCGGGGGACGUUGUUAGGUGGGCAGUUUGACUGGGGCGGUCGCCUCCUAAAGAGUAGCGGAGGCGUUCAAAGGUUGGCUCGUCCUGGACGGAAACCAGGAGAGAGAGUGCAAACGCAAAAGCCAGCCUGACUGCGAGACUGACGGGUCGAGCAGAGACGAAAGUCGGAGUUAGUGAUCCGGUGGUAUGUGAGUGGAAAUGCCAUCGCUCAACGGAUAAAAGUUACCCUGGGAUAACAGGCUGAUCUCCCCCAAGAGUCCACAUCGACGGGGAGGUUUGGCACCUCGAUGUCGGCUCAUCGCAUCCUGGGGCUGUAUUCGGUCCCAAGGGUUUGGCUGUUCGCCAAUUAAAGCGGUACGCGAGCUGGGUUCAGAACGUCGUGAGACAGUUCGGUCCCUAUCUGUCGUGGGCGCAGGAUAUUUGAAAGGCGCUGUCCCUAGUACGAGAGGACCGGGAUGGACGAACCUCUGGUGCACCAGUUGUCACGCCAGUGGCACAGCUGGGCAGCUAUGUUCGGAUCGGAUAAACGCUGAAAGCAUCUAAGCGUGAAGCCGGCCUUAAGAUAAGAUAUCCCACUGAGACAAUCAGGUAAGACCCCUUGAAGACUACAAGGUUGAUAGGCACAAUGUGUAAGUGGCGUGAGUCAUUGAGCAAGCGUGUACUAAUAGGUCGAGGGCUUGACCAA